CCUUCAUGAAGCCGGAAUUGCUAGUAAUGGCAGGUCAGCAUACUGCCGUGAAUACGUUCCCGGGGCCCUUGUACACACCGCCCGUCACACCAUGAGAGUUGGGAAUACCCGAAGCCUGUGAGCUAACUUUUAGAGGCAGCAGUCGAAGGUAGAAUCAAUGAUUGGGUGAAGUCGUAACAAGGUACC
rnacentral:rRNA from 1 species